rnacentral:misc_RNA from 1 species
UUAUUGCUUAAGCAUAGAUAU